rnacentral:rRNA from 1 species
AGCGUGGUUCGGAAUCACUGGGCGUAAAGGGCGUGUAGGCGGUCGAGUAAGUGGAAUGUGAAAUACUCCGGCUCACCCGGAGCACUGCAUCCCAAACUGCUCGGCUUGAGUAUGGGAGAGGACGAGGGAAUUCCUGGUGUAGCGGUGAAAUGCGUAGAUAUCUGGAGGAACACCGGUGGCGAAGGCGGCAUCCUGGACCGGCAUUGACGCUGAGGCGCGAAAGCUAGGGGAGCAAACGGG